CCGCUUGUCACAUUCGUGAGUAGAUGAAAACAAGAGCUAAAGCGUACCUACACAACACGUUGCUAAUAGUGAUAGUCGUUUUCUCCUAUUUGAAAGUAGAAAUCUAAUUAAUAAUCUAAGUAAAUUGAAUUAUACCAGUGCUUAAACUACCGUAUAACUUAACGCUAAAGAGUGCAUAUAACCUAUUUUUCUGAAACCGAAUCAGAACCGCUGCCAAUAAAUAUCUACUACGCCGGAAUUUCUAAGACCCUUCGGGAAUUACACUAGGGGAAGUAAACGUA